CGGUGAUUAUUAACGGUUGUUAAGCUUAACAAAUACUAAGUUGUUUAAUUAAUUGAUAAUGAUUUAUGUGGAGUAGGUUACAGAUGAAGUCAAAUUAGCAACGAAACUGUUUUACCUCAGCGUUAGCUCUUCAGGUUGAAAUUAAAGUUACUAGCUUUUUUUGAUAACUCUCCUUUGCUGGUUUAGCUCUUCAUAAAAGUGGAAUGAUCUUCUCGUCAUGAGUGUUUCUGUCUUUCAGGGAUGAAAAUGAUGUAUGAUACAAUACGAAGCUACGUGCCAAUAAGUGACCUAAACAUAAACAUCACACACUCGAAGGUGGUUGGAGUGAUAAUUGGAAAAACUGAUUCAAGGGGAUUUCCAGACCGAAAAAAUGCUGGGUCUGAAAGAUUUACUUUCAGCUUUACUGUCAAAGAUUCACCAGAACAUUUUAUCAAUGUGUCUGCAUGGGGAAAUGAGGCAUACAUCCAAGGACUGAGCAGUCGCUUUCAGAUUGGGG